rnacentral:tRNA from 1 species
GGUAUUAUAGUUUAAUUGGCAAAAAUAUAAAUCUACGAAAUUUAAGAUAUAGGUUCAAAUCCUAUUAAUGCCU